CACUAUAUUGGUCUGUCAUCAUCCCUUGGCCUCUCACCUGAUGCAGCCAGUCCAGGGACAGAAUGGGGAUUCCCCGCCCCAGGGCACACAGGAACUUGACUGUCCGGCGGAUGCGAUCAGUGACCAGACACCUGAUGCUUCUUUAUAUGUAUAAUGGCUGACCCUGGCGGAACUUCCUCCUCCACUUGUGUGUUGAUGUCCACUGUGGUGGAGGCUUGGCUUCUCUCCAGGUGGAUCCCAGACGUGCCAAAGUCAGCGCUGCUGAGACUUCUUCCUCGUCAUCUGUAUCGCUGUUGAUAACCAUGGAAGCUUGGCUUUUCUCCAGAGGGACAGCCUGUGGGGCAUUGCCUUCCUCCACAUCUGUAUCACUACCAGCCUGGCUCUCCUGCAGAUGGGUCAGGCCUGGUGCUCCAGGACCCCUUGUACCAACUCCAUGGAAGAUCUUCCUCUUCUUCAUAGGAAUGACAACUGGGGUUGCUGGGAUCCCCUCUUCUUCCGCAUCAGUGUCGCUGUCGAUGAAGCCAAAAGGCUGAGCCCUUUCCAAAUGGACCUCAGCUGGCCUUCCAGGCCUGCUGUCAUCAUCCACAUCUGUGUCACUGUCCUCUCCAGGAGGUUGGCUCCUCUCCAGAAUCACCCCAGCUGGAACCACCCCAUUCCCUGCACCCCUCUUGACUUUUGUAUCAUCGUCCCUCUCCUUCACUAAAGGCUGAUCCUUUUCAAGCUGGAUUUCAGUUA
rnacentral:antisense_RNA from 1 species